AUUGAACGCUGGCGGCAGGCCUAACACAUGCAAGUCGAACGAGUGGCGGACGGGUGAGUAAUGUCUGGGAAACUGCCCGAUGGAGGGGGAUAACUACUGGAAACGGUAGCUAAUACCGCCUACCAUCGGAUGUGCCCAGAUGGGAUUAGGUAGUAGGUGGGGUAACGGCUCACCAAGGCGACGAUCCCUAGCUGGUCUGAGAGGAUGACCAGCCAAACGGGAACUGAGACACGGUCCAGACUCCUACGGGAGGCGGCAGUGGGGAACAUUGCACAUUGGGCGCAAGCCUGAUGCAGCCAUGCGGCGUGUAUGAAGAAGGCCUUCGGGUUGUAAGGUACGUUCAGCGAGGAGGCGUUACUCGCAGAAGAAGCCACGGCUAACUCCGUGCCAGCAGCCGCGGUAAUUC
rnacentral:rRNA from 1 species